rnacentral:rRNA from 1 species
GACGAACGCUGGCGGCGUGCCUAAUACAUGCAAGUCGAACGCAGUGGGGACGGGUGAGUACCACGUGGGUAACCUCCCAUCAGAGGGGAUAAAACUUGGAAACAGGUGCUAACCCGAUACGGAUGGCGGACCCCGCGGUGCAUUAGCUAGUUGGUGAGGUAACGGCUCACCAAGGCCACGAUGCAUAGCAGACCUGAGAGGGGGAUCGGCCACACUGGGACUGAGACACGGCCCAGCCUCCUACGGGAGGAAGCAGUAGGGAAUCUUCGGCAAUGGACGAAAGUCUGACCGAGCAACGACGCGUGAGUGAAGAAGGUUUUCGGAUCGUAAAACUCUGUUGUUAGAGAAGCGGUAUCUAACCAGAAAGCCACGGCUAACUACGUGCCAGCAGCCGCGGUAAUUC